ACAGCAGUCGCCACGGUAAUGCGAACCGUGCGAACGUUACUCGGAAUUACUGGGCGUAAAGCGUGUGUAGGUGGUUGUUUAAGUCUGUCGUGAAAGCCCUGGGCUCAACCUGGGAAUUGCGAUGGAUACUGGGCGACUAGAGUGCGGUAGAGGAUAGUGGAAUUUCCGGUGUAGCAGUGAAAUGCGUAGAGAUCGGAAGGAACAUCUGUGGCGAAGGCGACUAUCUGGGCCAACACUGACACUGAGGCACGAAAGCGUGGGGAGCAAACAGGAUUAGAUACCCGAGUAGUCCCUGUCUCUUAUAC
rnacentral:rRNA from 1 species